rnacentral:rRNA from 1 species
AUUCCUACGGGACGCAGCAGUGAGGAAUAUUGGUCAAUGGGCUUACGCCUGAACCAGCCAAGCCGCGUGAGGGAUGAAGGUACAGAGUAUCGUAAACCUCUUUUGUCAGGGAACAAAGGCGGGGACGUGUCCCCGGAUGAGUGUACCUGAAGAAAAAGCAUCGGCUAACUCCGUGCCAGCAGCCGCGGUAAUACGGAGGAUGCGAGCGUUAUCCGGAUUUAUUGGGUUUAAAGGGUGCGCAGGCGGUCUGUUAAGUCAGCGGUCAAAGCCCGGGGCUCAACCCCGGCCCGCCGUUGAAACUGGCA